rnacentral:misc_RNA from 1 species
UUGCGGUUCUUCGGGAACGGGA